CUUUUGUCUCUUCUGAGCAUAACUUCCAAUCAAUUUCAUUGGCUGAUUCCAAGUUCAUUUAUGAAAGAAAGUUCUCUAGCCAGUAUCGCCACACCAUUCAUAACCUUCUAAGCAGUGUUUUUUUUUGGGGGGGGGAGAGUGGGGGAACUCACCACAAAGUUUGUUUGUUUAAUGCAGGCCCAGUCACAGUGCCAUUCCACACACACACACACACACACACACACACACACCGGGCCGUGGCUAGAUGUAAGAUGUGAUUAAUAAGCUAAAUCAGACAAUGAUCUGGAUCAGAAAUGGCCACAACUUUAUUGAUUACAGAUAUAGGUGGAUUUUUGGCUAAGGCAUUGGGUAUAUAUCCAUUGCAGCCUCGCCCCCAGACAAUAAUAAUAAUAAUAAUUAAAAAAAAUUUACAGUAAGGGAACUCAGUCCCCCCUGAAUUCCUGCUCAGCCCCCCCCCCAUUUAUAAGCCUCUAUAAUGUCAUCCAUGUUGGGUGGGAUUCACCCAACAAGUCCCAUCUGUGAAAGCCUUGCACAAGGGCAACAGCUGACACAAUGGGACUUCACUCCCCAUCUCCUCCUUCUAUGCGCCCCCCAAAUAGACCUAAGGGGUUGGGAGUACCCGCAGAGCAGCUCACGGUGGGGGGAGGAGAGUUCUGUCUCCGCACAUUGCAGUGCUUGUGUGUAUGGAAUGAGUCAGGGUGAUGCUGAAAUCCUCCUAUUGUCUUUCCCAGCCACCCCUAACCUGCAAAUGCUGCAAAUGCAUUUAUUUAGUGGUAAAUUGAACCUCUAAAACGGUAAAAUUGUCAGUAAAAGACAAAGCUUAAAACAGGUGCUUUUUAAAACAACAACACCAAAAUAUAAAUAAACCAACAAUUAAGCUAAAAACAGAUUCAGCCAUGUGUCAACUUCUGCAUGCCUGGAUAGGCUUGCUAAAACAAAAUUGUUUUUAACAGGCACCAAAAAGAGUACAGUAAAGGCACCUGCCUGGUGUCUGUAGGCAGGCAGGGAACUCUAAAAUGUAGGUGCUACCUUACUAAUUGCUUUCGUGCAAGAGCAGAACAGGUAUUAUGUAGCACCUGCAACACUUCCAGUUCGGCAGAUCAAAGCAACUGAGUGGGUAGACACGCCUUUUAUUUUAACCUAGCUUGUUGAAAGGAUCAUGAUUUUUAAAAGAUGGUUAUUCCUCCCAAGCUGCUGUAGGAGAGAGAAGCUGAGUGCUAAAGGCUUUCCCUAAGUAGCUGUUUAGAUCUACGGAGACCCUCCCCCAGCUGGUGUUUUGUGGUGUGUUAUAGAACCAUAGAAUUGUGGAGUCGGAAGGGAUUCCAAGGGUCAUCUAGUCCAAACCCCUGCAAAUAUGAGAAGCUGCCACAUACCUUGCUAGAUGUUGACCAGUAAAGCCUCAGUUACAUAAGCCCAGGUGAGGGAGACCUGGCUUUGAAACUUUAAACACAAUGCAGGGUGCCUUUUAUUAUUAUCUGGAGUUUUUUGUUCACAGGAAAAGUCAUAAUACUGUAUUUCAGUUUCGCUUGUUCAUACAUACCAUCUGCCCCUCCUGCUUGCAGUAUUUGUCUUCUUCCUAAGAUGAUUUUCACAUUGGUAUCCACACCGGAAUCCACUGGCUUGUAUUAAGCUAAUUUCAUACAUGGCUCAGUGCAUUGCCUGCUCUUUCUGAAUAUUUACAGCUGGUUUAUUAGAUAGGCUUUGUCUUAGGUUAUUGCUGCUCAGGGGUUUAGCUGCUCAUUUUAUAUUAGCCAUGUGUCCUCAUGUGGAAAUAUCCAGGCAUACCCCUCAGCACAGAUGUCUGUGUUCUAAAUGGGGGGGGGGCAUAAUUUAUUACCCAUGCAAGGUUAAUACUUGCACCAUAUAAUCCAAUGUAACUUUGUGAUAUUACCUCUACCUAAGAGUCCUGUAUUCCUGAUUAAAAAGUGCCAGAGGGGAAUGUAUGCUACGCAGCCACUUAUCUACCCAGAGUUUUCAAUUUCACCUGCUACAAUAUUCCAUUUCAACUCCUGUUUAGAAUUUUCCAGCUGAAGUGAAAUAUUUGCUUCUGCUUAGGGGGUGGCAGGCCAGAUUUCCGAGAAAUUAUAUUUGGCCUCCCUUCCCCUGUCUCCGGCCAGAAAAUAGUUUCCUUCACCGAAGUGCCAUUCACAAAAUACUGAUUAGCUGCAAUGAAGACUUGUCUAUAAGAGUAUCAGUGUCAAACCUUGCCGUAUUUUCGUCACAGACCAGCAUAUGAUGAAACCAUACGGUACAGAUAAACUGAACAAAUAAGACUUAAAACAGGUAAGGGGUUAAAAAUCAGUAGUUAAAAGGUGGUUGUAUCAUACAUAACUUAAAACGAGAGAAACAACAGCAAACGGUUAAAAGCAACUAUAAGGGAGGGAGUGUGAAGGAGGAGCACAGGUCUUGCAUUUUGGCCCUAGUUUGUGGCACAAACCAUCCUUCGACAAAUACCCAUCAUGGCAGUGCAAACUCUAGCAACUUGAGUAUACUGUAUAACAUCUGGGUUUUCAUCUUGAAGUAGCAGGGAAGGUACUGUUUAAAGUUGCUCUGUGCUCUCGUAUUUAAUAUUACUGGCUUCCUGAUGUAGUUUUCACACCUCCAAAUAAAGGUGCUUGGCUGUAAGCUGCAAGUAAUUCCAGCCCUCUCCUUCCACAAUAUUUAUUUAUUUAAGUGCAAUGUUGUUGUUUUUAAGGGGUAUGGAAUGCAGUUGUAUGAAAUGGCUCUGUGAAAUAGCUCGAUAAAGUAAAAUUUCACAGAUGGUUGGCAUGAAGGCUCAAGUAUUAGAUCCUUAGUGUUGAAACAGCAGUGAACUGGGGAGAGUCUGAAGGUGUGGGUGUGGGGUUUUUUUUUUUAAUGCAAUCAUUUAAUAAUAUGCUUACGCACUGGUGCAAGGGCAGAGUUUGCCACUGUUGAUGCCAUUUAAAACUUUCCUCUGCGCCCCAGCUUUCACAUGCCAACGAAAUGCCUAUGGCGUCAUAGCCACAAGCCACCAUUUUCACGGGAGAAGGUCAGUCAUAGUACAGUGGUGCCUCAUUUCUGGAACAUAAUCCGUUCCGGAAAACCAUUCAAGUUCUGAAACAUUCGAUGACAGGGGUGCAAAGGGUGUGUGUCUGCAAAAUCAAUUGAGAAAAUGGAACAACACAUAGCGGAAGCUGUUUGAUUUCCGAGGCGCCUUUGAAAACGGAAGCGUUUACUUCUGGGUUUUCGGUGUUUGGGUUCCAAAACAUUCAUCAACAGGAACAUUCAAGAACCAAGGUACCACUGUAUAUGUUUCAGAGAUAUGUGAGAGAGCAGACUAGAAAAUUGAUAUGGGAACGCUUGUAUAAAUAGUUUAAAAACAAACACGCAUAGAGCCUCGUACAAAUCUUGCCUCCCCUGAGAUCCCUUUUUUUUUUUACUAGAAGGUGAAUGGCACUCUUAUUUCAAAUUGUGCUGGGUUUACUCAUAAUGGGGCAGUAUUUAAGAAUGUGGGGUUUUCCUACAUUUCCUCUGACAUGAUGUUCUUAUAACUAGCCUAGCCACGUGGCUUUCUUCCGCCGUGAUUGCAGUGCAUGGAUCAUAACUCCGCAGUAGCAAAUAAUAUUCUCCAAAUAAAAUGAUAACAGGUCUGGCCUGUUAUCUGACAACAUAAAAAAUUAAACCCUGCACCUCAGGGGCACCACUUUCAUGAAGCUGAACCAGGUUUCAAUGCAUAUUUAGAGCAUGACACACUUUCCCCCCAGACUAAAGAAAUAGGAUCUGCUCAGGUCUUUCAGCUUGAGACAACAUCAUUCCCCCCUUGGAUACCGAAAACAUUGUAUAAGUAACUGAUAAGUUUUUUAAAUGUUCCUAUUCCUUACAUGUGUUUAGCAAACAGCAAGUAGGCUCUUUCUCCCUGCCCUGAGUCUGAGUAUGUUGAGAGAGAGGAAUAUGAUUCCUGACCCCUUGUGCCAUUGACCAAACUUUGAGAACAUCAUAAGAGUCCUGAGAUAGAUGAUAGAUAGAUAGAUAGAUAGAUAAUACAAGUUAUCUGUAGCCUGUUUAAAACUAGGCUGGGAAAUUGAUACAAUAGAACUGCUUCAGCAUGUGUACUUAUAAUCGUGCAACAAUCAAUUUUUGUUGUUGUUGUUCUGUUUUGAUCAAUCCUUCCCUGGCCGAUGGGCUCAUAGUGACUAUUUCCAGUUGCCUUUUGUCUAAAUGUAUAUUUGAUUUCCUUUGGUAUCUGUGAUAUUGUAUUGCUGUUAACUAUCGACUGAAUGAUUGCUGUUGUAUCUCAAAUGUGCUGAUGCCAGAAUUCUGUGAUAUAAAUAAACUUCCACCGGUAGCAUCAUUAUAAUAGCACAAGCUGCAGAAAUUUAUGGAAAGAACAGAUUAAAUGCUUAGACUUAAAUUCUUCAGUGUGCAACGCGGCUUAAAUUGCUGCGUCUGAAUUUUGGGUUGCUGAAUCAGGUGGAAAAAAUCAGACUGACACAUCGCUUGUCUGUGCAUUUUUACCAUGAUAUAUUACUAAAAGAAAAAGCUCAAAGCCUGUCAUUGAUAAUUCUGGCUAAAAAUUUGAAACAUUAAUUAUUAAGAUCUGUAGUUUCUUCUCACAAUGGCCUGGGAGUCUGGUGCAUAUGUCAGAGUGAGGACAUGUAACAUCAGUAUAUAUGUAGCGUUGUAGCAUAGUGCAUCUUUAUGUAUGUAAUAAAGCACUUGCUGUAUAACUGUAUAUAUAUAUAUCAAAGCAACAGGGAGAAAGACCGAGAAUUUGAGAGUAAUAUUUCUUGAACUACUUAGCAUUUAACUUAACAUGACAUUUAGAUUAAACAACACCCAGGAUCACGUAAGAUGCUUUAUUAUUCCAAGGCAGAAACCACAACAAAUAAUUGCAAAUAAGGGGUAUAUCAAUUUGUUUCUGAAAAUAGCACUCCCUUGUUGCCUGGCUUAUACAUUGAAAUGGCUGUUGAACAGUCUGCACAGAAACACAUAUCCAACUUGGAUGCUAUUGCUUUGGUGCACUGAGAUGUUCAACCUCAUCUUUCUAACACUACACAAGAGGGAGCCAGCAUGGUAUAGUGGUUAGAGUGUCAGACCAGAAUUGGGGGAUCCUGGCUUCAAAUACCCACUAAACUAUAAAGAUUGCUGCGUAACUUGAACCGGUGACUAUCUUUCAGCCUAACCUACCUAACGGGGGUUGUGCAGAGAAACAGAGAAGGAGAAAUAUGUGCUGCCUUGAGCUCCCUGUAGGAAAGGCAUGGUAAGGUAAAAGUAAAGGAUCCCUGGACUGUUAAUCCAGUCAAAGGCGAUUAUGGGGUGCAGCGCUCAUCUCGCUUCUCAGGCUGAGGAAGCCAGCGUUUGUCCACAGACAGCUUUCCGGGUCAUGUGGCCAGCAUGACUAAACUGCUUAUGGCGCAACGGAACGCCGUGAUGGAAGCCAGAGUGCACAGAAACACCGUUUACCUUCCCGUCGCAGCAGUACCUAUUUAUCUACAGUGGUACCUCGGGUUACGAACUUAAUUCGUUCCGGAGGUCCGUUCUUUACCCGAAACUGUUCUUAACCUGAGGCGUGCUUUCAUUAAUGGGGCCUCCUGCUGCCGCCACACUGCCGCCGCUGCACGAUUUCCAUUCUCAUCCUGGAGCAAAGUUCUCAACCUGAGGUACUACUUCCAGGUUAGCGGAACCCAAAGUGUUUGUAACCCAAGGUACCACUGUACUUGCACUGACGUGCUUUCAAACUGCUAGGUUGGCGGGAGCUGGGACAAAGCAACGGGAGCUGACCACUGUCACACGGAUUUGAACCGCCGACCUUCCGAUCAGCACGUCCGCUUCAGGAUGCGUCUUUUCAGGAUACGGACAUGCCGAACCCGAAAGUCCCAGAACGGUUACUUCUGGGUUUGGGGCGCGCAUGUGCAGAAGCGCUAAAUCGUGCUUUGCGCAUAAGCGCCAAAUUACGUCACACACCUGUGCAGACGUGGCGCUUCAGGAUGUGGCCUUUUCAUGUUGCAAACAGGCCUCUGAAACGGAUCCUGUUCACAACCAGAGGUAUCACUGUACAUGAAGAUGCCUGGCUGUGAUAUGCUGCAGUAAAACUGACUGAUCUCUUUCUACCUCAUCAACCCAAAGCAUGUCUGGGAUUACCAGCCAGGACUCCUGACUCUCGUACUGUAGAGAUUAACUUCCCAUGUGAAGGAAUAGAUUGUUAGAGUCUCUGUUACACUCGUGCAUGACAUCAAGUGAGUGAGAGAGAUGACAAUGCCUCCAGGUGGGCACUUAAGGAAAGCUCCAGCAAUUUAAACAAUCAGAUCAAUUUGCCUUUCUCAUCAGUAAAUGCUAUGAGUGGAAUUCAUAAUGUACCGUAAAAUAGAAAAUUUUAGGAGGGAGAGGAAGAGAGAGAGAAAUUAUCCCAGCACUUAGAGAAACUCUAGUUGAUAGUUUUCGGGUCCUGACCAUACACUUUAAAUAAUUUGCAAGAAUGUGAACCAGCUUAUGCAUCUGGAAAAGUCUGUAAACAAAGAUGCCAGGCAUAAAUGUGAUGCAUUAUUUAUAAAGAGCCAGCUGUGGGUUAUGAAAGCCAGGUGAAUCUCUGACGGUCAAAGAACAAAUUGGGAGAUGAGGGCAGGACUUGUGCAAGGCACCAUCCAUCUGAACAGCAUGACAGUGGUCAUCACUGAAGAUAAAAAUAUAAAUGGUAACAUAUAAAAUAUAAGUGGUAAUUUAAGCUUGUGGUGGCAGUGUGGCAAUCUUGUCCUUUGUUAUAUGCCAUGGGUAGGCAAACUAAGGCCCAGGGGCUAGAUCCGGCCCAAUCGCCUUCUAAAUCUGGCCUGCAGACGGUCCGGGAAUCAGUGUGUUUCUACAAAAGUAGAAUGUGUCCUUUUAUUUAAAAUGCAUCUCUGGGUUAUUUGUGGGGCCUGGUGUUUUUACAUGAGUAGAAUGUGUCCUUUUAUUUAAAAUGCAUCUCUGGGUUAUUUGUGGGGCCUGCCUGGUGUUUUUACAUGAGUAGAAUGUGUCCUUUUAUUUAAAAUGCAUCUCUGGGUUAUUUGUGGGGCCUGCCUGGUGUUUUUACAGGAGUAGAAUGUGUGCUUUUAUUUAAAAUGCAUCUCUGGGAUAUUUGUGGGGCAUAGGAAUUUGUUCAUUAUUUAUUUUUUCCCCAAAAUAUAGUCCAGCCCCCCACAAGGUCUGAGGGACAGUGGACCAGCCCCCUGUUGAAAAAGUUUGCUGACCCUUGUUAUAUGCUAUCAGGAACCAAUAAUUUUACCACUUUCUAUCCUCUUGGCAGAAUGUUGCAGGUGACUUACUGUCUCCAUCCAUAACAGGCAACAUGGUGCCCUUGACUCCUAUGAAGCCCCAGGCCACAGUAGCCAGGAUUAUGGGAAUUGUAAUGCUAAAAACAUCUGGAGAUACCACAUUGGCCACCCCUAGAGUCUGCAUGCACACAAUCGUAUAUUAUUAUAUUAUUAUUAUUAUAUUAUAUUAUAUUAUAUUAUAUUUUUAUAUUAUAUUUUUAUAUGCUAUCUGUUGUUAUCACAUAAUUCAAGGUAGCAUUCAUGGGGGUUUCCAGGCCCUCUCCCUUCCAGGUGUUGACCAGGCCCAUAUCUGUGCAGUUUCAGUGAGGGCCUUUCAACCAUGCCCUGGGACUUUUAACAUGAGCUAUGUUUGAACUCAAUUAAUGGAACAGAGUGUACCUCACAUUCUCUCUGUGCUCUAGGAGUAGUCAAAAGCAGCCUUAGGGUUCAACAAAGCUGCAUAUAAAAUGACUCCAUAUUUAAUGAAGAAGCAGUUGUCCGGAGCAAUUUAAUAUUUAAUGAAGAAGCAGUUGUCCGGAGGAAAACUGGACAUUGAAGCACACUUCCCUCUUCAACAAGAGUAUUGUUUGCUGCUGCUCAAAGCACAAGUACGUAGAGAAAUAACUUGGCACAAAGUAUAAAAACAACAACACGUUCAGACCGAUGGGAUAAUGGUUGCUAGGUUGGUUUUUAUUUUUUAUUUUGUUAGAAAUACGAUGCAGUAUUCCUCCUACAACAGGUCCCCUGGUUGGUGGUUUGGGGUCAAACACAAGGGGAGGAAAGUAUUAGUAGUUUGGGGUACAGCAGAGAGGAAAGAGUAGAAGUGGAGAACCUGUGGGUCUCCUGGUGUUGUUAGCCAACUAGUCCAUCAUCCUCAAUGGUUGGCCACAAUGGAUGGAAUCUUAAUAACAUCUGGAGUGCCAAUGGUUCUCCACUCCUGGGACAGAGCCUUCUUUUCACAGGGUGCUCUAAGGUUCCAUGGCGUAACUGAUGGUGCUUUAUUAGUACUUUCUGCAGUUUACAAUUGAUGUCACACCAUCAUGAUAGUUUUCCACUAAGAGGAGGGGAAAAUAGUACUAUACGUUUAGUCUAUCUUAUAAAAAUCAACUUGGGAUUUUUAUGAGGAAAAACAGGACACAAAUGUUGUGAAUAAAUAAAUAUUAUAUCCCCACUUGAAAAUAAAAUCCAUUCAUUUCUAUGUAGGACUUAUUUCUGUGUAGUUAGGAUACCACCAUUUCUCUCUCUCUCUCUCUCUCUCUCUCUCUCACACACACACACACACACACACACACACACACACACACACUUGCAUGCAACCCACACAAGUGCAGGAAUGUGAAAAUGUCGAGCAGGUGCAUCUACUGGAACAAGGCACAGAUCCUGGUCUCUCCACAACAAAAAGCACUUUGAUUUAACUCGACAACCUCAAAAUCUGCUCCAUGUCGCCUCUUGAGCGGAAUAAAUAAUUCAAAAUGGGGAGACCGGGAAACCUAAAUGACAAUUUGGAAAUAUCAAGUGGGUUGGAUUGAAAGUUGAUGAUGAUGAAAGGGUGGCUUUUUACCCUUCUCAAGAGUCUGAAAGCUGGUGAUAUGAAACUAGUAAACUGAUUCCUUUACAGGUGUUAAUUAUCAGUGCUCUAGCAAUUCAUCUUUUAACAACCUUCUAGAGUGAUAAUCUAAACAGCAUUUUGAAGGACCUUUUUGUAGUCUUUAGCUUUUUGUAUUGUUACCAGAAGAUGCUAAAUCAUAAAACGCUGUGGAAUAUGGAAGUGGUUGUAUAUGUCUUCAUAUGGUUUGAGAUUAGCUGGUCUGAGGGAGAACUGGAUACGCUUGGGUCAUUGCUCUUAGCCGCCACAACACAGCAUCUUCUGUCCUGCUCACUUUUGCCUAAAGUGGAUUUGCAUUGCAGGCAGCGUCAGUAGCAAGGACUGAGCAAGCAGUAACAUCAACAUAGAUUUUUGUAUUCCAUAUCAUGCCAUCUUUUCCCUUUAUUUGUGGUUCUGAGCCCAAGUGCAGAACGAGGAACACAGGAAAUUCCCAGGCAGAGACGAUCUAUGAAAUGACUGUGUUUUUUGUCACUAGGAAAAUACAGGUUUCGCAAAAAGGACAUUUAGUUAUUUGGCUUGGAAAGGAAGGGAAAGAGGGGCACAAUUCUCCGUUGUGUUCUGACUACAGAAGAGAAGCAGCCAGAACUGCGUUUCAGGCUUCCAUCCAUCUGCUUCCCUCUGCUGUCUCCCAUCCUCCCUCCCACCCAGUUUUCUAAUUUUUGUGCCACUUUAAUUAUGAUAAGCAGAGGAGCAUGACAGGCGAUCUCUUUGUUAUGACAGGUGUGUUGGGUCCUUGGAUUUGGAAUGCAUACUUAAUGUCUACAUUCCUCCUGUUGCGCACAGCUGAGGAACACUGUUGAAAGAGACAGACAGAGAGAGGUUGCAAUCUCUGGAGGUCCUCUUUCCUCACCUGGAUGACACUCAAAAUCAGGAGGACAAGCAUGUUUUUCUCCUCACCUUCCAAACACUGUCACUUGAGGUACUCUGAAGUGAAACUUUCAAACCUUGUUCCCAUGUUAGUAGGAGAUGUUGGGGUGCUUUCAUGUUGUUCAAAGGCUUCUGCAGUUGUUGAGGCAUGUUGACAGUUUAGCUGUCUUCAGGAUCAGAGUGCCAGGCAUCUCCCGAGUCAUUUGCAUCUACAAGGUCACCUGGCAAAAGGAGCGCCAGACAAGUUUGCCAUUUCCCAACUCUCUGGGUCCUCUUUGCGUGAAGCACAUGAGUGAUCUGUUUCCUAAUAGCUAGCAACCUGUUGGUAAAUGAAGAAGCUGGCUUCUUGUUUUGAAUGACUUUCCUGGCAAUGGUGCUUCAGAUGACAUUUCCCUCUGUAUCUAAUGAUGCGAAUUCUCUUUCCUAAUGGUUGCAAUGAUGCAUUGUUUUCUAAAGGCCACUUGGUGUGAUUAUAUAUACACUUGAGAGAGCAGAGGAUCAAAGAGAUAUUUGGAAAUGAUUAAAGAAAAAAGAAACCACUGCCACCAAUACAGUGGCAUAAUUAUUUGGUACGCAUCCAUGGCAUCAUUAGCCCAAAUCUUUGCAAUUGUUCUCCAAAACCUGAAGACAGAGGCAAAACAUUUCUGCCAAUGUCAACAUAGUUUGAUGAGAUAAUGGCGGACUCUCUUACUUCAGCUGUCAACCAGCUUCAGUUAAGGGAUAGAUAAUAGCUAUUUCUUGUGCCAGCAUACAAUGCAUUUUAGAGAGAAGGAAGAUGAUACCUGAGGGUGGGUACUUAAGCAAUCAAUUUGCCUUCAUAGGUUUCUAUAGUUAAUUGGGAGUCAUACUGCACCAUAAAAUAGAAAGCUUUGGAAUGGAGGAGGGGCCGGAGCUGUUGAACACUGUGUCCUGGUGGUUGAAGGUAGGCAGAGCAUAGAGCGACUCAGUAUCAAAUUGGAAUUUAUUUUUUUUAAGUCUAUAUACAGAUAUAAGGCAGAUCUUGGGGACUGUGCACACCCCUACUACAUGUUCCCAGCAUUUGGAUUGCCUCUGAGGCUAGUUUGUAGUUCAAAGUUCAAAUGUCUUGGGAAAUGGAGGACACUUUUACAGAGCUGGUGCUGAUAGGUGAUUUUUCAACAGCAUAGCCAACUUUUCACGGUGGAAAGACACCCAAUAAAUACAAACAUUUGUUCUCUGGUUCUGAAAACAAGAGUUCAAGUAGGGGGGUUCCACUUAUUCGGUCUAAGUCAGGCAUAGGCAAACUGGACCCUCCAGAUGUUUUGGGAUUACAACUCCCAUCAUCCCUAGCUAACAGGACCAGUGGUCAGGGGUGAUGCGAGUUGUAGUCCCAAAACAUCUGGAGGGCCCAGUUUGCCUAUGCCUGCUCUAAGUUUAGCUUGCAUUGGUUUAAGUGUGAGGUUGCAAAGUUAGCGAAAGGAACAAAUGCCGUAAAAAUGGCUUCUUACUGAGAAAGCAGAAGUAACCCACUUCUCUCUACUGCCCCAUCCACCGUGGUAUGCACAUGUUCUGUGUUCAAGCUUACGUAGGCUGGAAAACUCUUGUGCAGUAAUGUGUGAAAUGUUAUUCUACUAAUAAGCUGUCAUGAAGAAAUUAAGUAUCUGUAAGCUUGAGAAUAAGCUGCCUUGCAGCUGACCCACAUCCGAAAUUCCCUAAGGGGUUUGAAUAGCAUACUGGGUAUUCAUUUCAGGACACACUUACUCGGUGGAUCGUUACCUUUCAUAUUUGUUGCUUUUCAAGUAUUAAGAUACCUAAGAGGUUUUUUUAUUUGUGCAUUAUAUAUUGCAAUUAUUCAGAAAAAGACAAUUUCAUUAGUGUACUUGAUGAUGACGACAACGACAUUAUGAUUUUAUGAUACGAGGGUACUUUUAUGAUAUUGUAGAAUGAACACUUUUUGUCAAGUCAUGUUCUUUUAUCUUUUUGAUGUUAUUUUUAAUUUUGUAAUCAGUAAUCUUAUACAAAUAUUUGAAUAGGAGCCUUUUUAAAAGCUAGCAGAGCAAUAACAAACAGUAAUCUAUACGAGCCAGUAUGCUGUGACAUAGGGCUUUAUAUUAUCAUAGCCAAAAGCUGGGCACAGAGAUUCUGACCAUUUUGGACAGACUUAGUAUCAGGGUUUCCUUGGAUUCAGGGAGUAGUUUCUUUGUUCAUUUGGGACCUACCACCUUGACUCUUCUUUUUCCUGCAUUCAUGAUUUUGGAGAGUGGUUGUUUUAUUCAACUUUAAUAUUGCCUUUUGACUCAAGGUACUUUUUGUUGGGUCAGGUGAUGCUGCAAAGAGAAAUAGCUUCAAAGAACGUGGUGGGUAUUUUUUUCCCCCGACUGUGAGAUAACCAGCCUCAUAUAACCAACAUGCUUAAGUCUAAUUAAUGCAUGAAGGGGUUAAUACCAUAGAAUAAGCUGUCCUGCCAGGCUUAGCUAAGUCCACUUCCCCUCACUUUGGGAAGAACUAGGUAAUCAGGCUUUUGUUUUUCUUCAUUUUCAUAGCUGCCAAGUUAUCCCUUUUUUUAAGGGAUUUUCCCUUAUGCUUAAUAGGCUUCCUCGCGAGAAAAGGGAAAACUUGGCAGCUAUGUUCAUUUUAUCUGAGAAUCUCAAUGGGUGGAGAGGUUUUGAGCUAGUUGCUGCAUCUCAGACCGCAUGGCUCUCACAAGCCACUCUUGAGUUCCUAUACCAAUAAUUUUGCAGAUAGCAGAAAAAGGCGUUGGCUGUAUUGAAGAACCCGUUUUGUGACACACGUGGCCUUGGGUGGUUGUCCAGUUUGCACAGCGGUAUAACACAAAUGUGUACUUCUCGUUUUCAUAUUUGCAAAGGCGAUUUAAGUCUGGUUCAUGAUUGAAAGCAAAACAAAAAC